rnacentral:lncRNA from 1 species
UUUGUUCUUGUACAAAGCGAGAAAACAAAACCCUUUCUAUUUCAUAUAAAUUGGAUGAUGUGAUUCAGGGUUUGUGUGAUUUGAAUUGGAUGAUUAUGUGCAACAUUGACCAGGAUUGAAGAGGCGCCACAGGGAACAAAGUGAAGAGGAGAAAAGGAGAAGAAGGAGGAGCUCACCGUGAAGGGAGACUAGUGUGCUGGUUAUGGUUGGACCAGAAGGCGGGUCGCUUUGAGAUCAUUUCACUGUCUGGAUCUUAUGUAACUGACCAAGGGGGAAAGACUGUUGGGCUCAGUGUGUGUCUCUCCAAUACAAAUGGGCAAAUCAUUGGGGGUGGAGUUGGUGGACCAUUG